AUUGAACGCUGGCGGCAUGCCUAACACAUGCAAGUCGAACGCGAAAGAGGGGCAACUCUCGAGUAGAGUGGCCGACGGGUGAGUAAUACGUAGGAAUCUGCCCUAGAGUGGGGGAUUACCGGUCGAAAGACGGGCUAAUACCGCAUUUACUCUGAGGCGCAAAGGCGGCUAGCAAUAGCCUUCGCUGUAGGAUGAGCCUACGUCGGAUUAGGUAGUUGGUAGGGUAAUGGCCUACCAAGGCAACAAUCCGGAGCUGGUCUGAGAGGACGAUCAGCCACACUGGAACUGAGACACGGUCCAGACUCCUACGGGAGGCAGCAGUGGGGAAUAUUGGACAAUGGGGGAAACCCUGAUCCAGCAAUGCCGCGUGUGCGAUGAAGGCCUGCGGGUUGUAAAGCACUUUCGUUGGGGAAGAAAUGCUCAAAGAUAAUACAUUUGAGAGCUGACGUUACCCAAAGAAGAAGCACCGGCAAACUCUGUGCCAGCCGCCGCGGUAA
rnacentral:rRNA from 1 species